UGUAGAAGAGGGGUAAAGGUGGUUGUUGUUGGGGUCCCCAAAACUAUAGACAAUGAUAUUUUGCUGAUGGACAAAACUUUUGGGUUUGACAUUGCUGUUGAGGAAACACAACAAGCAAUUAAUUCAGCCUACAUCAAGGCACAUAGUGCAUACCAUGGUAUAGGAAUUGUAAAGUUGAUGGGUCGUAGCAGUUGAUUUAUUGCUAUGCAUGCAUCCCUGGCUAGUGGAAAAAUCGAUAUAUGCUUGAUACCAGAGGUAUUUGUGCGACUUACUAAUUGGUUAGUUAUUUUUGAGAUUCUGUACUGAUACUGGUUUUAUACAUUUAUGGUACCUUUCCAUUUACAUGGUCCUCAUGGUGAUUUGCGGCAUCUGAAAUACCUCAUUGAGACAAAAGGAUCAGCAGUGGUCUGUGUUGCUGAGGGAGCAGGGCAGAAACUGUGAAGCUAUAUGAAACAGUUGGAAUGGGAAAUGGAGAGAACGAGCUAAAGCAAGAGUGAGAGUUGGAGGAUGUUAUAGUAGACAAUACUCUCCACGUUUCUUGUUAUAGUAACUUUUCAAUAUGUUGAAUAUUUAAGAAUACUUGAAUACUUAAAUAACAUUUUGUUGUUAAUGACAGUGUUGAAUAUUUUAAACUAAUUUGUGGAUUGUUAAUACAAUGUUGAAUGUUUUUAGUUUUUGUUA